UUGUACACACCGCCCGUCACACCAUGAGAGUUUGUAACACCCAAAGCCGGUGGGGUAACCUUUUAGGAGCCAGCCGUCUAGGGUGGGACAGAUGAUUAGGGUGAAGUCGUAACAAGGUAGCCGUAGGAGAACCUGCGGCUGGAUCACCUCCUUUCU
rnacentral:rRNA from 1 species